rnacentral:tRNA from 1 species
GGAGAGGUGGCUGAGUGGCUGAAAGCGGCACCCUGCUAAGGUGUUAUACCUCUUAAAGGGUAUCGAGGGUUCGAAUCCCUCUCUCUCCG